rnacentral:miRNA from 2 species
UCUUCCCUACUCCUCCCAUUCC